rnacentral:lncRNA from 1 species
GUGUUCUCGGUUAAUCCAGUCCAAAUUAUUAAGCCUUCAUAAUCCUCCAAGACACGUAAUCAGAUAAGACUGCAACUGAUUUGAAGAAAUCCUUAAUUGCAGAAAUCAUCAAGCCUUGCUCUUCUGCUGGGCGAGAUGAAAGCGUUCAUCUUCUCCGGAGAACACACGAAGUCCUCACCUUGCAAGCAGAGACCAGGCCCUCCCCAGACACUGAGCUUGGUGGCACUUGGAUUUUGGACUUCCAGCCUCCAAAAUUGUGAGAAAAAGUGCUGAAUAUCACAGAACACAAAGAAAAGAGAAAGAGAAACUGACAGAGCCUAUAAAUGUUGCACGAAGGUUCAGAUACAUACAGUUCUGCUGGCUUUUUAAGGAGCAGUGUUUCCUAUAUCCUAAGGCAGAUGGACAUGUUGGGAUGGAGGGACAUGGAUGGAGCUGGAAGCCAUUAUCCUCGGAAAAUUAACACAGGAACAGAAAACCAAACACUGCAUGUUUGUGGGAGCUGAACAAUGAGAACACAUGGACCCAGGGAGGGGAACAACACACACUGGAGCCUGUUGGCGGUAGUGGGGGUAUGAGGGAAGGAAGAGCAUCAGAAAAAAAUAACUAAUGUAUACUGGGCUUAAUACCUAGGUGAUUGGUUGAUAGGUGCAGCAAACCACCAUGGCACACAUUUACCUAUGUAACAAGCCUGUUGCACAUGUAUCCCGGAAUGUAAAAUAAAAUAAAAUAAAAU